UAUACUUUAGUGUAAGUUGCACUUAAAAUUUUGAAUUUUAAAGAUUAGUUAAAUUUCGAAAUAGUAUAA
rnacentral:tRNA from 1 species